UAGGGAAUCUUCCGCAAUGGACGCAAGUCUGACGGAGCAACGCCGCGUGAGUGAAGAAGGAUUUCGGUUCGUAAAACUCUGUUGUUAGAGAAGAACAGCGCAUAGAGUAACUGUUAUGCGUGUGACGGUAUCUAACCAGAAAGCCACGGCUAACUACGUGCCAGCAGCCGCGGUAAUACGUAGGUGGCAAGCGUUGUCCGGAUUUAUUGGGCGUAAAGCGAGCGCAGGCGGUCAAUUAAGUCUGAUGUGAAAGCCCCCGGCUCAACCGGGGAGGGUCAUUGGAAACUGGUUGGCUUGAGUGCAGAAGAGGAGGGUGGAAUUCCAUGUGUAGCGGUGAAAUGCGUAGAUAUAUGGAGGAACACCAGUGGCGAAGGCGACUCACUGGUCUGUAACUGACGCUGAGGCACGAAAGCGUGGGUAGCAAACAGG
rnacentral:rRNA from 1 species